UGGGGAAUAUUGGACAAUGGGCGAAAGCCUGAUCCAGCUACGCCGCGUGUAUGAUGAAGGCCUUAGGGUUGUAAAGUACUGUUGUAGGUCAAGAAACAAAUGACUAACCUAUGUAGAAAGCGCCGGCUAACUCCGUGCCAGCAGCCGCGGUAAUACGGAGGGCGCAAGCGUUGCUCGGAAUCACUGGGCGUAAAGGGUGCGCAGGCGGUUUAUUAAGUCAGAUGUGAAAGCCCAGGGCUCAACCCUGGAACUGCAUCUGAAACUGGUUAACUUGAGUAUGAGAGAGGAAAGUGGAAUUCCUGGUGUAGAGGUGAAAUUCGUUGAUAUCAGGAGGAACAUCAGUGGCGAAGGCGACUUUCUGGCUCAUAACUGACGCUCAUGCACGAAAGUGUGGGUAGCAAACAGG
rnacentral:rRNA from 1 species